CCUCAGCCAGGUCUUAAGGGUGAAGUUCAACUCUUUGCAAAAUACCGGCAGAAAUCCCAUGCACCAGGUGGAGUUUACACAGAAUUUAAGAGGCAAAAAUUGAGUACUAGAAGCACAGCAAAAGAGGACAAAUAGCAGAAGGCUCCAAAUUAGAAGAAUUGUACUGUCUGACCAGGCUGUAUGGAGCAUAUUAUGGUCAAAGCUUCACCCCAUUGAAUUCCCAGAAGUCCUACCGACCUUACUGCUACUACUAAAAUGAUUCCCAAUUUAAUUGAUUGUAAAUCAAGUAUUUUAUGUCACUAAG
rnacentral:lncRNA from 1 species